rnacentral:rRNA from 1 species
AAUGAACGCUGGCGGCAGGCCUAACACAUGCAAGUCGAACGGAUCCUUCGGGAUUAGUGGCGGACGGGUGAGUAACGCGUGGGAACAUACCCUUUGGUACGGAAUAGCCUCGGGAAACUGGGAGUAAUACCGUAUGUGGUCGAGAGACGAAAGAUUUAUCGCCAAUGGAUUGGCCCGCGUUGGAUUAGGUAGUUGGUGGGGUAAUGGCCUACCAAGCCGACGAUCCAUAGCUGGUUUGAGAGGAUGAUCAGCCACACUGGGACUGAGACACGGCCCAGACUCCGACGGGGGGCAGCAGUGGGGAAUCUUAGACAAUGGGGGAAACCCUGAUCUAGCCAUGCCGCGUGAUCGAUGAAGGCAUUAGGGUUGUAAAGAUCUUUCAGGUGGGAAGAUAAUGACUGUACCACCAGAAGAAGCCCCGGCUAACUCCGUGCCAGCAGCCGCCGUAAAAC